AUGAACGCUAGCUACAGGCUUAACACAUGCAAGUCGAGGGGCAUCAGGAAGAAAGCUUGCUUUCUUUGCUGGCGACCGGCGCACGGGUGAGUAACACGUAUCCAACCUGCCGAUGACUCGGGGAUAGCCUUUCGAAAGAAAGAUUAAUACCCGAUGGUAUAUCUGAAAGGCAUCUUUCAGCUAUUAAAGAAUUUCGGUCAUUGAUGGGGAUGCGUUCCAUUAGGUUGUUGGCGGGGUAACGGCCCACCAAGCCAUCGAUGGAUAGGGGUUCUGAGAGGAAGGUCCCCCACAUUGGAACUGAGACACGGUCCAAACUCCUACGGGAGGCAGCAGUGAGGAAUAUUGGUCAAUGGACGAGAGUCUGAACCAGCCAAGUAGCGUGAAGGAUGACUGCCCUAUGGGUUGUAAACUUCUUUUAUACGGGAAUAAAGUUAGGCACGUGUGCCUUUUUGUAUGUACCGUAUGAAUAAGGAUCGGCUAACUCCGUGCCAGCAGCCGCGGUAAUACGGAGGAUCCGAGCGUUAUCCGGAUUUAUUGGGUUUAAAGGGAGCGUAGGCGGAUGCUUAAGUCAGUUGUGAAAGUUUGCGGCUCAACCGUAAAAUUGCAGUUGAUACUGGGUGUCUUGAGUACAGUAGAGGCAGGCGGAAUUCGUGGUGUAGCGGUGAAAUGCUUAGAUAUCACGAAGAACUCCGAUUGCGAAGGCAGCUUGCUGGACUGUAACUGACGCUGAUGCUCGAAAGUGUGGGUAUCAAACAGGAUUAGAUACCCUGGUAGUCCACACAGUAAACGAUGAAUACUCGCUGUUUGCGAUAUACAGUAAGCGGCCAAGCGAAAGCGUUAAGUAUUCCACCUGGGGAGUACGCCGGCAACGGUGAAACUCAAAGGAAUUGACGGGGGCCCGCACAAGCGGUGGAGUAUGUGGUUUAAUUCGAAGCAACGCGAAGAACCUUACCAGGCCUUGACAUCCCUUGCAGAGGUAUAGAGAUAUAUCCGAGGUUAUCAAGGAGACAGGUGGUGCAUGGUUGUCGUCAGCUCGUGCCGUGAGGUGUCGGCUUAAGUGCCAUAACGAGCGCAACCCUUACGGGUAGUUACCAUCAGGUUAUGCUGGGGACUCUACCCGGACUGCCGUCGUAAGAUGUGAGGAAGGUGGGGAUGACGUCAAAUCAGCACGGCCCUUACGUCCGGGGCUACACACGUGUUACAAUGGGGGGUACAGAAGGCAGCUACACGGUGACGUGAUGCUAAUCCCUAAAACCUCUCUCAGUUCGGAUUGGAGUCUGCAACCCGACUCCAUGAAGCUGGAUUCGCUAGUAAUCGCGCAUCAGCCACGGCGCGGUGAAUACGUUCCCGGGCCUUGUACACACCGCCCGUCAAGCCAUGAAAGCCGGGGGUACCUGAAGUGCGUAACCGCGAGGAGCGCCCUAGGGUAAAACUGGUGAUUGGGGCU
rnacentral:rRNA from 1 species